UUUUUACUUUCUUUUAUUUUUUUGUUUUUCUGGAUCAUUCACUUAUUUGCAUCGGUCCACUACGUAGAGGAUGCGUAGGUCGGAGCUGACUGUUGAGAUAAACUACUAAGGACUUAUACGGAAAUGAUGAUUAAGGCCAUGGUAUAUGGGGUUUCGAGAAUGAUUCCUAUAUUUACGAAGCUUAUGGUGCUAAAACAUAUACUGAUGUUUCGCAAAG
rnacentral:lncRNA from 1 species